rnacentral:rRNA from 1 species
GCUGCUUUGCUGACGAGUGGCGGACGGGUGAGUAAUGUCUGGGAAACUGCCUGAUGGAGGGGGAUAACUACUGGAAACGGUGGCUAAUACCGCAUAACGUCGCAAGACCAAAGAGGGGGACCUUCGGGCCUCUUGCCAUCAGAUGUGCCCAGAUGGGAUUAGCUUGUUGGUGAGGUAACGGCUCACCAAGGCGACGAUCCCUAGCUGGUCUGAGAGGAUGACCAGCCACACUGGAACUGAGACACGGUCCAGACUCCUACGGGAGGCAGCAGUGGGGAAUAUUGCACAAUGGGCGCAAGCCUGAUGCAGCCAUGCCGCGUGUAUGAAGAAGGCCUUCGGGUUGUAAAGUACUUUCAGCGGGGAGGAAGGUGUUGUGGUUAAUAACCGCAGCAAUUGACGUUACCCGCAGAAGAAGCACCGGCUAACUCCGUGCCAGCAGCCGCGGUAAUACGGAGGGUGCAAGCGUUAAUCGGAAUUACUGGGCGUAAAGCGCACGCAGGCGGUCUGUCAAGUCGGAUGUGAAAUCCCCGGGCUCAACCUGGGAACUGCAUUCGAAACUGGCAGGCUUGAGUCUUGUAGAGGGGGGUAGAAUUCCAGGUGUAGCGGUGAAAUGCGUAGAGAUCUGGAGGAAUACCGGUGGCGAAGGCGGCCCCCUGGACAAAGACUGACGCUCAGGUGCGAAAGCGUGGGGAGCAAACAGGAUUAGAUACCCUGGUAGUCCACGCCGUAAACGAUGUCUACUUGGAGGCUGUGCCCUUGAGGCGUGGCUUCCGGAGCUAACGCGUUAAGUAGACCGCCUGGGGAGUACGGCCGCAAGGUUAAAACUCAAAUGAAUUGACGGGGGCCCGCACAAGCGGUGGAGCAUGUGGUUUAAUUCGAUGCAACGCGAAGAACCUUACCUGGUCUUGACAUCCACAGAAGUUUGCAGAGAUGCGAAUGUGCCUUCGGGAACUGUGAGACAGGUGCUGCAUGGCUGUCGUCAGCUCGUGUUGUGAAAUGUUGGGUUAAGUCCCGCAACGAGCGCAAC